GGGAAACAUCUGUAUGUGGAGAUGUUACCUGAUACAGUCUUCCUAUAGAAAAGUUCUGCAGUUUCCUGCUUGCAUAACUCAAGGAAGUUGUGCAAGUCUCAAAGUUGCAGAGACAUGA